rnacentral:rRNA from 1 species
AGGCUAGCGGCGGACGGGUGAGUAACACGUAGGGUAACCUAGCCCAACGAGAUCGGGAUAACACCUGGAAACAGAUGCUAAUACCGGAUAACAACAGAUGAUGCCUAUCAACUGUUUUAAAAGAUGGUUCUGCUAUCACUCUUGGAUGGACCUGCGGUGCAUUAGCUAGUUGGGUAGGGGUAACGGCCUACCAAGGCGAUGAUGCAUAGCCGAGUUUGAGAGACUGAUCGGCCACAUUGGGACUGAGACACGGCCCAAACUCCUACGGGAGGCAGCAGUAGGGGAAUCUUCCACAAUGGACGCAAGUCUGAUGGAGCAACGCCGCGUGAGUAAAGAAGGGUUUCGGCUCGUAAAGCUCUGUUGUUGGUGAAGAAGGACAGGGGGUAGUAACUGACCUUUGUUUGACGGUAAUCAAUUAGAAAGUCACGGGCUAACUACGUGCCAGCAGCCGCGGUAAAU